rnacentral:rRNA from 1 species
UACGAAGGGGGCUAGCGUUGUUCGGAAUUACUGGGCGUAAAGCGCACGUAGGCGGACAUUUAAGUCAGGGGUGAAAUCCCGGGGCUCAACCCCGGAACGGCCUUUGAUACUGGGUGUCUUGAGUUCGGGAGAGGUGAGUGGAAUUGCGAGUGUAGAGGUGAAAUUCGUAGAUAUUCGCAGGAACACCAGUGGCGAAGGCGGCUCACUGGUCCGAUACUGACGCUGAGGCACGAAAGCGUGGGGAGCAAACAGG